GAUGAACGCUGGCGGCGUGCCUAAUACAUGCAAGUCGAGCGAACAGACGAGGAGCUUGCUCCUCUGACGUUAGCGGCGGACGGGUGAGUAACACGUGGAUAACCUACCUAUAAGACUGGGAUAACUUCGGGAAACCGGAGCUAAUACCGGAUAAUAUAUUGAACCGCAUGGUUCAAUAGUGAAAGACGGUUUUGCUGUCACUUAUAGAUGGAUCCCGGCCGCAUUAGCUAGUUGGUAAGGUAACGGCUUACCAAGGCAACGAUGCGUAGCCGACCUGAGAGGGUGAUCGGCCACACUGGAACUGAGCCACGGUCCAGACUCCUACGGGAGGCAGCAGUAGGGAAUCUUCCGCAAUGGGCGAAAGCCUGACGGAGCAACGCCGCGUGAGUGAUGAAGGUCUUCGGAUCGUAAAACUCUGUUAUUAGGGAAGAACAAAUGUGUAAGUAACUAUGCACGUCUUGACGGUACCUAAUCAGAAAGCCACGGCUAACUACGUG
rnacentral:rRNA from 1 species